rnacentral:rRNA from 1 species
UAUGUCUGGUGACUAUAGCAAGGAGGUCACACCUGUUCCCAUGCCGAACACAGAAGUUAAGGAAAGAAGCAAGCGAUUGUCACAAGUCAAGAAAGGUCUUUAGCGACGAUGGUAGCCAACUUACGUUCCGCUAGAGUAGAACGUUGCCAGGCAAA